rnacentral:rRNA from 1 species
UACGUAGGGUCCGAGCGUUGUCCGGAAUCACUGGGCGUAAAGGGCGCGUAGGCGGCUUGAUAAGGUUGCGGUGAAAGCCCGGGCUCAACCCCGGGUCGGCCGUGGCAACUGUCGAGCUGGAGCACUGUAGAGGCAGGUGGAAUUCCGGGUGUAGCGGUGGAAUGCGUAGAGAUCCGGAAGAACACCGGUGGCGAAGGCGGUCUGCUGGGCAGUGCUGACGCUGAUGCGCGACAGCGUGGGAGCAA